rnacentral:tRNA from 1 species
GCGGGUGUAGUUCAAUGGUAGAACAGAAGCUUCCCAAGCUUCUAGCGUGGGUUCGAUUCCCAUCACCCGCUCCA